UUUAACCAAGUUUCCAGCCGUUUCCAGAAUAGCGCACUCAUUGAGGAUAUCAAAGGAAGCUAUCCGAAACCUUGUUUUGAUGAGUACAACGCAAAGUUGCAACUACAAUAUAAAAUGUUGUCUCGGAUGAUCAACCAGAAAGAUAUCAUGAUCCCUCAUUUAGGAGUCGCACAAGAACGAUUGAGAAAUAGGAACGUGUUUCUCGUUCUUGAUGAUGUGGAUCGGUUAGCACAACUAGAAGCCUUGGCCAACAAUGUUCAGUGGUUUGGUCCUAGAAGUCGGAUUAUCAUCACAACAGAAGAUCGAAGUCUUUUGAACGCACAUGGGAUCAACCAUAUAUACAAGGUUGGUUUUCCAUCAAAUGAUGAGGCUCUUCAAAUGUUCUGCAUGUAUGCUUUUGGUCAAAAGUCCCCUAAAGACGGUUUUUAUGAACUUGCGCGUGAAAUUACAUACCUUGUCGGUGAACUUCCUUUAGGACUAAGGGUUAUUGGAUCCCACUUUCGUGGAUUGUCCAAGGAGCAGUGGUCAAUGGAAAUAUCAAGGUUAAGGACUAACCUUGAUGGAGAUAUUGAGAGCAUUUUGAAGUUCAGUUUUGAUGCUUUAUGUGAUGAAGAUAAAGAUUUAUUCCUUCAUAUAGCUUGCUUUUUCAACAACGAAAAUAUAAACAAAUUAGAAGAAUUUAUUGGCCAAAGAUUCAAGGAUUUGAGUCAAAGGCUUUACGUUUUAGUGGAGAAAUCUCUCAUAUCUAUUGAAAGAUUUCUUGAAUAUGUGAGUAUAAAAAUGCACAAUUUGCUGGCCCAACUAGGUAAAGAAAUCGUCCGUAAAGAAUCUCGUGAGCCUGGGCAACGCCGAUUUUUGUUUGAUAAUAAAGAUAUUUGUGAAGUAGUCUCUGGUUAUACAACUGUAAGUUUUUCCAUUAUUCUUUCAUUGCAGUGCUCACCAUAACUUGAGUUUAUUUUAUCAUCUCUACUUAUCUUUGGGUCUUUUUUCUCAGAAUACUGGAAGUGUUGUAGGCAUAGACUCCGAUUCUUGGUUAAAUAUAACUGAGAAAGCCUUUGAAGGAAUGCCUAAUCUCCAGUUCUUAAGAGUCGUCGUAUACAAUUUUGAUCAUCCAAACAUUAUAUCUUCUUCGGGACCUCUGACUUUUAUAUCUUCGAAGCUACGAUUAAUAGAGUGGUGGUAUUUUCCGAUGACAUCUUUGCGUUUUAUUAAUAAUCUGGAAUUCCUUGUCGAAUUAAAAAUGCGUUACAGCAAACUUGAGAAGCUGUGGGACGGAAUCAAAGUAAGUCAUUUAAAUUUUAGUUUUGUAUGUAGAAUAUCCUCUCUUGUACAUUAAAUUAACUUGAAAAAUUAUAUUUUACUUGCCACUUCGUUUCUAGCAUGAAAAUAUAUAUAUAUUUUAAAAUUUUAUGUGUUCCAAUUGCUAAGUGUAAUGUGUUCCAAUUUUAUGUGUUAAAUUUUUAUGUAUAAUUGUGUAUAUUUUGUCUCCAUCUUUCUUUACAGCUGCUUAAGAAUCUCAAGCGUAUGGAUUUGUCAUAUUCCAGAAACCUGAAGGAGCUUCCUAAUCUUUCAAUGGCCACUAGUCUUGAGAAGUUAAAACUUAGUGGAUGUUCAAGUCUGGUGGAGCUCCCUUCUUCUAUUGGGAAUUCAACUAAUCUCUCCACAUUCAAACUUGAUGGAUUUAGUCUAGUGGAGCUCCCUUCUUAUGUUGGUAAUUUAACUAAUCUCCAGGAAUUAUCACUUAGUGGAUGCUCAAGGCUUGUAUCACUCCCACAGCUUCCAGAUUCCUUAUUGCGCCUAAAUGCAAACAAUUGUGAGUCCCUAGAGAAACUAGACUGCUCCUUUUGCAAUCCAUAUAUUUGGCUUCACUUCGCUAACUGCUUCAAACUAAAUCAAGAAGCAAGAGAUCUCCUCACCGAGACAUCAAAUGUUAAAUUGUAAAGAAGUGCCUGCGUGCUUCACUUACAGAGGUUAUGGGAAUUCCGUAACAGUGAAGUUGAAUCAAAAGCCUCUUCCUACAUCAACCAAAUUUAAGGCUUGCAUCUUAUUUGGUAACAAUGGCGAAAAUGACGUUAGUUAUAUUUAUUGGGACACAACAUGUGUGUAUACGAAGAAGAAUAAGGGUUGCAUCUUGUUGGAUAAUAAGGGAGAACAUGAGGAACGAGGGUCGGUGUCUUGUCGCAUCAGACACAAACCGAAUGGUUUCUUAAAUUACUAUCCAGUUAUAACGGAGCAUCUAUACAUUUUCGAAGUUGAAGUAGAGGAGGUGACUUCCACAGAGCUUUUUUUUUAUUUCGAGAUCUUCAAAGAGGAUUCCAGGACUAUGGAGAUAAAAGAAUGUGGGAUAAUCCACAUCUUGGAACAUCAUGUUGAUGGCGACGAAAAGAUGGCGAUGAAGAUGGAGACAAUGUAGAUCUGAGACAAACAUUGAAACUCAAGUCAAACAGAGAAGCCACAAGACAAAAUUGCAAGGACGAAUGGUAAGUUUGCAUUUUCACAACUCAAGAACUUACUUUGUUGAUAAACUUUGCAUAACAACUGUUCAAUGAAAUGUCUAAGUGAGCUUUUUAAGUUUAAAGUGACAAUAGCUAGAACUGCAAUCUCCAAAAUGAUUUUUGAAUUCAAUCGUGUAGGGUUUAGAGCUGGAGCUUAAGAAACUCUUGAAGGUGAAGUUGAAGACGUCCAUGAAGAUCUAUUUAAGAAACAGGUACAAAACUUAUACAUUCUUUUGAUUUAUGUGUUUUGUUUGUCUUCUCAAUUCAUGACAAUACAAAUAUAAAUUGUUUGUGAUAUUUUAGAUGUUCAGUAAAUUUCUUUUGGAUCUGAUUAAUUUUUGCUCUAGGCACAAGUAAAGUCGUUUCAAUAUGCAUUUGUCAAGUUAAUUGUGUCUUUUACGGUAUGGCUUGACCCACAUGUUCCUCUCUGUUUCUCAUUUGAAUAAUCAGUUUUUCCUGAUUGGUAUUCACUACUGUUAUUUCAUAUACUGCUUGAAAAAUUCUCAAAUUCUUUGAACUUGUGUUUAGUGCUCUAGUUGCUCUCUGUUAAUUCAGAUUUGGAUAAUUAGUUGUCCUGUUUCAGUAUUACUUAACUGUAUUCCUUAAAUUGGUUAGAUAUAGUUUUGCUGAAUGUAUAACGAUUGCUAGUACCUUCGUGAAAUGGUUUUGAAUCUGUUUGUGUAAUGUCAAAGCCAGAAGCCGAGAACGUAGCAAAAGUUAAGAUGGUUAAGAGUCUUUUAGGUAUGUUGUGUGCCUUCAGCUUCUCGUUUAUGUCUCAGAAUGCCUUCAUGCUAAUGAGAUGACUUUAUUUUGUAGGUGAACUAUUACAGUUGGCCUCUUGAAAUUCUAUUAUCAUUUAUACAUUUUCGACAUUGAAGCAGAGGAGGUGACUUGCACCGAGCUUGUUUUUACGUUCGAGGACAGAAAUUCCACAUACCUGAAAGCUUGGGAGAUAAAAGAAUGUGGGAUACUUUUAACUUCGGAGCGUCAUAUUGAUGACUUAUGAGAGCUUGGGAGAACCACACACCCUUAGCCCACGCGCAGGCUGGUUUUGUCACUCUGAUGUGUUUCCAAGUCUCACCAGUAGAGAAGUUUUUCUUAAAACCUGACGUCCGCUACAUUUCGUCUGCUUCUCGAUUUUGCCUCUUCUAUCCCAGCUUCAAUUCUGGUCAAUAAAUCCACACGGUGUCUCCUACUACGUCGAGUCAGAAACACGUCUUCCAUAGUCAUAGUCUUAGUAAAUCCCAGAUCAAUGCAUCCUCUGUCGCCCAAAACGUCGAAAAGAGGUCCCACGGAGGACUUGUGAUCAUACCAAAAAGAAGUGUUCUUACCACUUUGAAUUUCCAUCUUGUGGAAACUUUUUGCUAUCUCUUUCAGUUUGAAUAACAAAAAGAACCUUGGUAAGAAGAUUCUUUGACUGCCCAAAACGAGUUUUGCCAGAGGAGAUAAGUCUGAAUCCAUUGUCUUUUAGAGAGUGUUUUGUGGAUUCAGCUUCUCGUUUAUGACGUCUAUAUGACUAAGAACUGUUACAAUUGUUUGUCAAACAUGUGAAGGUGAAGUUGAAGAUCUAAUUUACCUACUUAAGAAAUACUUAAUACAUUCUUUUGAUUUAUGUGUUUUGUUUGUCUUCUCCAUUCAUGGGCCAUGGCAACAUAUAAAAUAUGUUUGUGAUAUUAAGAUGUUGGUUAAAAAUUCUUUUGAUUUAUGUGUUUUGUUUGUGAUAAACACAUAUAAAAAAUGUUUUUGAUAUUUAGAUGUUCGUUAAUAAUUCUUUUGGACAAAUAUGCAUUUGCCAAGUGAAUUGUGUCUUUUACGAUAUGGCAGAAGAGAAAUCACACAACUAUAUGUCAACUUUAACAAAAUGGAGAUUUAGACAAAGCUCUUCUCUUAUUACAUGAACAUGGCACAUUACACUAGAUAUCACAUCCACACAAGCUUUAUAAGACGAAAAAGGACUAAUUUUUUUUAAUAACGCCAACCAAAACUUGAUUCAAGCAAGAAGUCCAAAAAAAUUCCAUUUUCCUGAAUAAAAAAUAAUAAUUUAGAUGGAAUGUGAUAAAGACUGAAAUCAAUAAAAAGAAAGACAAAUACCUUGCGCAUUAGUAGCAGGAGGACUAGCAGGAGACACUGCAACCAAAACAAAACAAAACAAAAAUCUCUAUUAAUCAGAUAAUCAUAUAACUACAAAAGGAAUUAAAUCAUAAUCCAUAAAAAAUCAAGAAGAAAUCUAACAUGCACCACAAGCUGCCACCGGAGGAGCAUAAACUUUACAAGCAUCGGGAAGAGUAGUAGCCUUAGUAACGUUAAGUUUGAUUCCGUAAGAGGCAGUGUUCUUCAACCCUUCGCAUCAGUGCCGGCCCGGUAAAUUUGGGUGCCCUAAGCAAAAUUAAAGCCAUAAAAAAAAAAUUCUUUUAAAUUAGAUUUUUACCAUUAAAAAAAAUGUUGUAGUUGUCUCUAAAAGCCAACAAUAUUUUUAAAAGGCCCUACAAAAAUUAUUGUAUAUAAGGAAAACUUAACAAGUUUUUAGGUAAAAAGGCCCUCAAAUUUUGAGGCCCUAAUCGGUGGCUUCGGUGGCUUGCCCUCUGCGCCGGCCCUUCUUCGUAUAGACAUUCCGGUUCCGUAUCGAGGAUAUUCUUGAGACUGGAGCAGCACGAAUUUGAGGGUGUAUCCAUCGUACUCCCGAUCGUUAUAAAUGAUAAACAUGGGAACAGGGGAACAACAAGGGUACACCCGGAGGCUGGUAUAAUGUUUCCAUGAACAUAAGGAGAGGAAACAGAGAGGACUAGGAGGAGAAGAGAUGUUGCUGCGGAGAAGAAAGCCAUUGUUUUGGUUCUCUGUUUUGGUUACUGCUUAAGAAUCUAGAGAGAAGAAAAUGAGAAUUGUGGUAGAGAAUGAGUGAAAUGUGCUGUGUUUAAAUAUGGGUUUGAGUGAUAAAGACGACGUCGUUUUGGUGUACACGUCAUGUGUAACUUGUAAUUUUUUGGUUCUUUUAGUGUAAGAUUCUGCUCAUUUUUAUUUGGAUUUUAUCCUAUAUUAAGAGCUUUUUAUCAUUGAAAUUAAAGUUGUUACCAAAAUGAUUAGAUUUGUUAGAAGAAUACAGAAGAAAAAAAAAAAGUAGAAAAAUAAAAAUGUAAUUUCUAAAAACGUUGGUGAAAAAAAUAAAAAAAAAUUUCUUAAAACGCUUUUCUAAGUAGAAGGAUUUGUAUUCAUACUUUGCUUUGCUGUAUGUAUUUCUUAGAUUUUGUUUUUUUUCUGCUGUAACCUUCUGUCAAAAUCUAUAAAUGGUAUAAAACUUAACAUUCAUACCAAAAAACAAAAGUUUAUAUGCUAAGAUAUUUAUUUUUUUUAUGUUAAAGUUGCUAAGAUUUUCUUUUUAACUGUCUUGGUUUAUAUGUCUUGGUUCUGAGUCUUUUCGAGAGUGUUGUGUGGAUUCAGCUUCUCGUUUAUGUCGUCUGUAUGACUAAGAACUGUUACAAUUGUUUGUCAAACAUGUAAUAAACUUGAAGGUGAAGUUGAAGAUCUAAUAUACCUACUUAAGAAACAGGUACAAGACUUAUACAUUCCUUUGAUUUAUGUGGUUUGUUUGUCUUCUCCAUUCAUGGCAACACAUAUACAAAAUGUUUGUGAUAUUUGCCAAGUGAAUUGUGUCUUUUACGAUAUGGCAGAAGAGAAAUCACACAACUAUAUAUCAAAUUUAACAAAAUGGAGAUUUUGACAAAGCUCUUCUCAUAUUACAUGACCAUGGCACAUUACACUAGAGAUCACAUCCACACAAGCUUUAUAAGACGAAAAGGGACUAAAUAUUUGUUAUAACGCAGACCAAAACUUGAUUCAAGCAAGAAGUCCAAAAAAAUUCCAUUUCCCUGAACAUAAAAUAAUAAUUUAGAUGGCAGGAUUAAACAUUAUAAUAAGUUAUCAAGAAUGAAAUGUGACUAAGAAUGAAAUCAAUAAAAAGAAAGACAAAUACCUGGCGCAUUAGCAGCAGGAGGACUAGCAGGAGACACUGCAACCGAAACAAAACAAAGUUUCUAUUAAUCAGAUAAUCAUAUAACUACAGAAGAAAUUAAACCAUAAUCUGAUUUAUCGUAAGGAUCAUAAUCCAUAAAAAUCAAGAAGAAAUACAGAGAGAUGAAGGAGAAAUCUAACAUGCACCACAAGCUGACGCCGGAGGAGCAUUAACUUUACAAGCAACGGGAAGAGUAGUAGCCUUAGUAACAUUAAGUUUUAUUCCGUAAGAGGCACUGUUCUUCAACCCUUCGCAUAGACAUUCCGGUUUCGUAUCGAGAAUAUUCUUGAGACUGGAGCAGCACGAACUUGAGGGUGUAUCCACCGUACUCCCGAUCGUUAUAAAAGAUAAACAUGGUAACAGGGUAACAACAAGGGUGGUGCACUCGUCGGCUGGUACAAUGUUUCCAUGAACAUAAGGAGAGGAAACAGAGAGGACGAGGAGGAGAAGAGAUGUCGCAGCGGAGAAGAAAGCCAUUGUUUUGAUUCUCUGUUUUGGUUACUGCUUAAGAAUCUAGAGAGAAGAAAAUGAGAAUUGUGAUAGAAUGAGUGAAAUGUGUUGUGUUUAAAUAUGGGUUUAAGUGAUAGAGACGACGUCGUUUUUAUGUACACGUCAUGUGUUAACACGUCAUUUUUUGGUUCUUUCUGUGUAAGAUUCUGCUCAUUUUUAUUUGGAUUUUAUCCUAUAUAAAGAGCUUUUUAUCAUCGAAAUUAACGUUAUUACCAAAAUGUUUAGAUUUUAAAGAAGAAAAAAAAAAAAAAACAGAAAAAUAAAAAUGUAAUUUCUUAAAACGCUUUUCUUAAAGUAGAAAGAUUUGUAUUCAAACUUUGCUUUACUGUAUAUACUACUUAGAUUUUGUUUUUUUCUGCUGUAAUCUUCUGUCAAAAUCUAUAAAUGGUAUAAAACUUAACAUUUAUACCAAAAAAACAAAAGUUUAUAUGCUAAGAUUUUCUUUUUAACUAACUUGGUUUAUAUGUUUAAAGACUAAUUAAUUAAAUAUAGUAAACAAGUUUUAUCAUUUUGCAUACAAUUAUUCAGUGGGUCAGUUUCUCAUUGUAUUUAAGAUAAGAGAUUGGUUCGGUUUGCACAAAAAAAUGGAGAUUGGUUCAAACUUCAAAUGUUGAAACCUGCGUGUUGUUGUUAUUGAAUUUAAAAAAUUAAAAAACUUUUUUUUUUCUUUCUCAAUGUCAAAACUAUGAGUUCUUUCGCAUAAAGAAUGAAAACAAAAUUAAUGUAACAAAAAUAGUUAAAGAAUAUCACAUAUUUUCGAUAUCUUUCAAGAUUUGAAUAAUUAGUUUUUCCAGAUUUAGUAUUACUUAAUUCUAGUCCUGAAAUGUAGUUUUACUGAAUGUAUAACGAUUGCGCUUAACUUUGUGAAACGGGUUUGAAUAUGUUUUAAUAAUUAAUGCAAAGCGAGAACAUAGCAAAAAGUUAGAAUGGUUAUGAGUCUUUUAGAGUAUGUUGUGUGGCUUCAGCUUCUCGUUUAUGUUCUCGUAUGACCGAGGUCUGAGGACAUGCUAUUUUAUUUUAUAUGAAAUGACUUCUUUUUUUUGAUGAACUAUUACAAUUGGCCUCUUGAAAUUCAAUUAGUGUCAUGUUAAAAAAAAAGUAAAAUCUAAAUGGGACUAAAAAAACAACUAUUGAAUAAGGGGUACUGGGUGGCAAGGGACCUAAACAUUACAACAAGUGCAACUGUUUGGAGUAGUGUUUGACAUAAGAGUAGAAGGGGUUUACAAGUUAUCUCCUAGUAGAAAGCCAAAAGAAGAAUAAAUCACCAUAUUUUGCAUUCCCGGAAGAUGGGAAUGUUCGUGUUGAUGUUUUUCCAAGGCUUGAUGUUGUUUGAGGUUCUUUACCAUGUCUUUUGUUAUUUCUCUCCCUCCAUAUGGUAUGGACUGCAAUUUGAAACGUUUAUCGCAGAAGUAAAAGAGCCUUCUUUUUGGUUGUCUCAUAUGUUAUGAGCAAAAUGAUUUGAUCCCAAUCCAGAAGUAUCUACAGGUGUGACUAUCUUGAAGUAUCCCUUUUACUAACUCCUCCCAUAUUUGUCUUGUAUACGGGCAUUGAAAGAAGAGGUGGUGUCUUGUCUCAACCGGUUCCUGACAAAACGCACAAGAUGUAUUCACUUGGGUCUUCCACUUCACCACUCGUUCACCUGUAGAUAAUUUGUCAUGCUUUGCAAGCCAUGUAAUAAAAGCGUAUUUAAGCGUAGCUUCAGAUUGUUCGAGUUUUUCAGGUCUUGAUUUAAGAAAUGAUCAAAAUUAUAACAAAAUUCAGAUUUAAUUGGAUUUGGUUUAAGUUUGGAUGAAAAUUUAGUUAAAUAAUGAUUAAUUAUAUGUAAUUCAUAUUAUAUUUUAAUAUAUGUUAAUUUUAUAUAUGAAAACUGAAAUAUUAACUGAAAUAUUUCGAUGUGGAAAUUUAUGUACUUUUCAUAGUAUUAUAAAAUUUGGUUUGGUUUCACCUUAGUAAAUUUUUGUGAUCGAACCAAAUAAACAUGUAUUAAUAUAUAUUCAUAUUCGGUUCGGUAUAAUAAUUUAUAGAUCACUAGUAACAAAAUUGGUUUGGUUUCACGUUGAUGAAUUUUUGUAACACAACCAAAUAAAACUUCAUUAAUUAACCUUUUUACAUCAUGACUAAAAAAAUUUCAAUUUAUUUAUAAAUUCUAAACUAGAAUUUCAGAAGAAAAUAUAUUAAAUUUCAAUUUUUCAUUGUGGUUUCUUUCAUAGAAUUAGAGUGUCAUAUGUCGUAACCAAUUGCUGAGUUAUUUAUUGGGUUCUGCAAAAAAAAAAAUAACUCUCCACCUCAAAAAUACAGAUAAAUCAUACGAAGUAAGAAAAAAAACAUAAUAUAAACUUUAUAUGUAUAUUGUAUAUGUUUUCACAAUCACAUACAAUAUAUAUUUUUUAGUUAUAAAUGUUGAGUUAAACUUCUCGUCGCGAAGGCUUCGAUUUAACAUAUUAAUCAUCAAAAUUUUACAAACUUGAGAGUAGCGGAAAAAUGUUAUAUUGCGUAUUAUAUUUAACUUCGUAGGAUUAAUUUGCAUUUUUGUAGGUGAAGAUAAAUUUGCAAAAAGUGGCUAGUUUGAAGAUUUUUAUUACGGAGACGGUAAGGUAUGAAAGUCAGUUGUUGCAAAUAAAAUGACCAAUUAAAUUUCUGAAAGGAAAUAUCAAGAAAUUUGAGAGUAUAAAUUAGAUGGAGAGAGAGAGAGAUAGCAAAUUUAGGAAUGUGAAACAAAGUCAACUGUUAAUGAGGGAUGUUUCCUCAUUAACAAAACCUUUUGGGAAUAACUCUUACUUAGUCUAAGCUAUAUUUUAAAUUUUAUGAGCAAUUGUGUUUUGUUUUGAGCUGUCAUGCUCUGUUUUCUGUUUUUGAAUCUUUCCUUUGAUUUUUAAUGUAGUUUACGAAAAAUUCGUACAGAACCGCUUCAUAUCACAUAUGUAAACAACAUUUUUCAUGAAUGGCUUUUUUGAGCUCUAAUUAAUUUCGGAUGACAAAAAAAAAAAAAAUGUAGUUUCAAAGCCCCCAGCGAAACACUAUGGAAAAUCUCCAAACGUUACUUCCUUUGUCAACUCUUGAUUUUGCGUAUAAGAAAAAGUCAUGAGAUUAAUAAGCCAAUCAAUCGGAUAUUUUGGAAUUUUUUUUCCUUUGUAGUAAGGUGAAAUAAUUGGUCGGUUGCAUUUUCUUAUUCAAACUAAAUUUCUCGGAGGAAAUAUCAAGGAAAUUCUAAAGAUAUUGUAUGUCAACGUUCUAGGCCUAUAUACAUUCAAGUUUUAAUCCUUACCCCCCAUUUAACUCUGUUAAAGAUAUUGUAUGUCAACGUUCUAGGCCUAUAUACAUUCAAGCUUUUUCCUCUUCUUAUUCUUCUGCUCCUUCGAUUCCUUCAUCUUCUUCGUCUCAAAACUGGGAGUACGAUGUCUUUCCCAGCUUCCACGGGAAAGAUGUACGCAAAGCCUUUCUCAGCCACGUUCUAAAGGAGUUUGGAAGAAAAGCAAUCAACUUUUUUGUUGAUAACGAGAUCAAGAGAGGAGAAUUCAUCGGUCCUGAACUCAAACGUGCGAUCAAAGGAUCUAAGAUUGCUCUUGUCUUGCUCUCCAAGAAUUACGCUUCUUCGUCAUGGUGUCUUGACGAAUUGGCGGAGAUAAUGAAGCAAGAGUCUGGUCAAACGGUGAUUACCAUUUUCUAUGAAGUAGAUCCAACGGAUGUGAAGAAGCAGAAGGGAGACUUUGGGAAGGUCUUCAAAAAAACUUGUAAAGGUAAAGACAAGGAGAAGAUUAAGACUUGGAGGAAAGCUUUGGAGGAUGUGGCCACAAUCGCAGGUUACCAUUCAAGCAACUGGUUCGUGUUCUUGAUUUAGCUUUUAAUAUUUCUAACUCAUCAUACUAUGUAGCAUACGAAACUGUAUGUAUACAAGAGAUUCAUAACUUUUGAACGUGUAUGUUAGUUCUUAGUGAUUAUUUAUUAACAAGAUGUAUGUAUGAAUUGUUCUUCGUCUUUGUUAGGGUUGAUGAAGCAGCCAUGAUUGAAAACAUCGCUGCUGAAAUUUCGAACAAGCUUAAUCAUUUGACACCAUUACGUGAUUUUGACUGUUUAAUUGGGAUGGAAGCUCAUAUGAAAAGGAUGGAACAGUAUUUACGUCUAGACUUGGAUGAAGUGAGGAUGAUUGGGAUUUGGGGUCCGCCUGGGAUUGGGAAGACCACAAUUGCCAGGUUUCUGUUUAACCAAGUUUCCAGCCGUUUCCAGAAUAGCGCACUCAUUGAGGACAUCAAAGGAAGCUAUCCGAAACCUUGUUUUGAUGAGUACAACGCAAAGUUGCAACUACAAUAUAAAAUGUUGUCUCGGAUGAUCAACCAGAAAGAUAUCAUGAUCCCUCAUUUAGGAGUCGCACAAGAACGAUUGAGAAAUAGGAACGUGUUUCUCGUUCUUGAUGAUGUGGAUCGGUUAGCACAACUAGAAGCCUUGACCAACAAUGUUCAGUGGUUUGGUCCUAGAAGUCGGAUUAUCAUCACAACAGAAGAUCGAAGUCUUUUGAACGCACAUGGGAUCAACCAUAUAUACAAGGUUGGUUUUCCAUCAAAUGAUGAGGCUCUUCAAAUGUUCUGCAUGUAUGCUUUUGGUCAAAAGUCCCCUAAAGACGGUUUUUAUGAACUUGCGCGUGAAAUUACAUACCUUGUCGGUGAACUUCCUUUAGGACUAAGGGUUAUUGGAUCCCACUUUCGUGGAUUGUCCAAGGAGCAGUGGUCAAUGGAAAUAUCAAGGUUAAGGACUAACCUUGAUGGAGAUAUUGAGAGCAUUUUGAAGUUCAGUUAUGAUGCUUUAUGUGAUGAAGAUAAAGAUUUAUUCCUUCAUAUAGCUUGCUUUUUCAACAACGAAAAUAUAAACAAAUUAGAAGAAUUUAUUGGCCAAAGAUUCAAGGAUUUGAGUCAAAGGCUAUUGGGAGAACCGGAGAUCGACCGAGAUCGACGAUCGAGAUGAUCGCCCAAGAUUACUCUCAUCAAUACCAUGAUAUCUUUACGUUUUAGAGGAGAAAUCUCUCAUAUCUAUUGAAAGAUUUCUUGAAUAUGUGAGUAUAAAAAUGCACAAUUUGCUGGCCCAACUAGGUAAAGAAAUCGUCCGUAAAGAAUCUCGUGAGCCUGGGCAACGCCGAUUUUUGUUUGAUAAUAAAGAUAUUUGUGAAGUAGUCUCUGGUUAUACAACUGUAAGUCUUUCCAUUAUUCUUUCAUUGCAGUGCUCACCAUAACUUGAGUCUAUUUUAUCAUCUCUACUUAUCUUUGGGUCUUUUUUCUCAGAAUACUGGAAGUGUUGUAGGCAUAAACUCCAAUUAUGGGUUAAAUAUAACUGAGAGAGCCUUUGAAGGAAUGCCUAAUCUCCAGUUCUUAAGAGUCGGAUACAAUACUCAUCAUCCAAACAUUAUAUCUUCUUCAGGACCUCUAAUUUUUAUAUCUCCGAAGCUACGAUUAAUAGAUUAGUGGUUUUUCCCGAUGACAUCUUUCCCUUUUAUUAAUAAUCUGGAAUUCCUUGUCGAAUUAAGUAUGCGUUAUAGCAAACUUGAGAAGCUGUGGGACGGAAUCAAAGUAAGUAAUUUAAAUUUUUUAAUUGUUUUAAAUUUUAGUUUUGUAUGUAGAAUAUCCUCUCUUGUACAUUAAAUUAACUUGAAAAAUUAUAUUUUACUUGCUACUUCGUUUCUAGCAUGAAAAUAUAUACAUUUUUUAAAUUUUAUGUGUUCAAUUGCUAAGUGUAUCAAAGUAAUUGUCUAUUUUGUCAUUAUUCUCCUUUACAGCUGCUUCGAAACCUCAAGUGUAUGGAUUUGGCAAAUUCUGAAAACCUGAAGGAGCUUCCUAAUCUCUCAAUGGCCACUAGUCUUGAGGAGUUAAACCUUGAAGGAUGUUCAAGUCUGGUGGAGCUCCCUUCUUCUGUUGGUAAUUUAACUAAUCUCCAGAAAUUAUCACUUGAAGGAUGCUCAAGGCUUGUAUCACUCCCACAGCUUCCAGAUUCCCCAAUGGUCCUAGAUGCAGAAAAUUGUGAGUCCCUAGAGAAACUAGAUUGCUCCUUUUACAAUCCAUGUAUUCAUCUCAACUUCGCUAACUGCUUCAAACUAAAUCAAGAAGCAAGAGAUCUCCUCAUCCAGACAUCAACUGCUAGAUUGGUGGUCUUACCCGGUAAAGAAGUUGAUACUUGCCACUUCGUUUAAUAUAGAUUAACUUGAAAGAUUAUAUUAUACUUGCCACUUCGUUUCUAGCAUGAAAAUGUAUCUUUUAAAAUUUUUGUGUUCAAUUGCUAAGUGUAUCAAAGUAAUUGUGUAUUUUGUCAUUAUUCUCCUUUACAGCUGCUUCGAAAUCUCAAGCGUAUGGAUUUGGCAUAUUCUGAAAACCUGAAGGAACUUCCUAAUUUCUCGAUGGCCACUAGUCUUGAGCAUUUAGAUCUUAGAGGCUGUUUAAGUCUGGAGGAGCUCCCUUCUUCUAUUGGAGAUUUAACUAAUCUAUGGAAAUUAGAUCUUAGAGGCUGUUUAAGUUUGGUGGAGGUCCCUUCUUCUAUUGGGGAUUUAACUAAUGUUUGGGAAUUAUAUCUUAGUGAAUGUUUAAGUUUGGUGGAGCUCCCUUCUUCUAUUGGGAAUUUAACUAAUCUCCAUGCAUUAGUACUUAAAGGAUGUUCAAGUCUAGUGGAGCUCCCUUCUUCUAUUGGGAAUUUAACUAAUCUCCAUAAAUUAUCACUUGAAGGAUGCUCAAGGCUUGUAUCACUCCCACAGCUUCCAGAUUCCCUAAUGGUCCUAAAUGCAGAAAAUUGUGAGUCCCUAGAGAAACUAGAUUGCUCCUUUAGCAAUCCGGGUACUUGGCUUAACUUUUCUUACUGCUUCAAACUAAAUAAAGAAGCAAGAGAUCUCCUCAUCCAGACAUCAUCUGUUAACGUUGUGGUCUUACCCUGUAAAGAAGUGCCUGCGUGCUUCACUUACAGAGGUUAUGGGAAUUCCGUAACAGUGAAGUUGAAUCAAAAGCCUCUUCCUACAUCAAUUAAAUUUAAGGCUUGUUGAAGGUUAUGGGUCGGUGUUUUGUUGCAUCAGAGACAAACUGAAUCGUUUCUCAGUCCACUCUCCAAUUAUAACGGAGCAUCUAUACAUUUUCGAAGUUGAAGUAGAGGAGGUGACUUCCACCGAGCUUGUUUUGGAUUUCGAGAUCUUCGAUUACGAUUCCAAGACUAGGGAGAUAAUAGAAUGCGGGAUAAUCCACAUCUUGGAACAUCAUGUUGAUGGCGACGAAAAGAUGGCGAUGAAGAUGGAGACAAUGUAGAUCUGAGACAAACAUUGAAACUCAAGUGAAACAGAGAAGCCACAAGACAAAAUUGCAAGGACGAAUGGUAAGUUUGCAUUUUCACAACUCAAGAACUUACUUUGUUGAUAAACUUUGCAUAACAACUGUUCAAUGAAAUGUCUAAGUGAGCUUUUUAAGUUUAAAGUGACAAUAGCUAGAACUGCAAUCUCCAAAAUGAUUUUUGAAUUCAAUCGUGUAGGGUUUAGAGCUGGAGCUUAAGAAACUCUUGAAGGUGAAGUUGAAGACGUCCAUGAAGAUCUAUUUAAGAAACAGGUACAAAACUUAUACAUUCUUUUGAUUUAUGUGUUUUGUUUGUCUUCUCAAUUCAUGACAAUACAAAUAUAAAUUGUUUGUGAUAUCUUGCUCUAGGCACAAGUAAAGUCGUUUCAAUAUGCAUUUGUCAAGUGAAUUGUGUCUUUUACCCACAUGUUCCUCUCUGUUUCUCAUUUGAAUAAUCAGUUUGUUCCUGUUUCAGUAUUGCUUAAUUCUAUUCCUGAAAUUCGUUAGAACAUAGCAAAAGUUAAAAUGGCUCUGAGAUUUUAGAGUAGGCUUCUAGUUUAUGUUCUCUGUAUGAAUGAAGACAUGCUAUUUUAUUCUAUAUGAAUAGGUGAACUAUUCCAUUUGGCCUCUCAAGUUUCACAAUUCUUGAUUUUGCUGCAACUUUUUUUGUAGCAUAUAUUGGCCUCUUGAAAUUUAGUUAUCUUUAAUUAAGGUUUAAUAAAAGUAAAAUCUGUAUGGGACUAAGAAGAACAAGUAUUGAAUGAGGUUUAUUGGGUGACAAGGCACCUAUAUAGGAACUUGACAAGUGUAAUGGAUUUGCUCAUUCUAUUAGACGGUGUAACCGAAUCAAGAUGUUGGAUUGUGUUGUAUUAGGUAGCGAAUAUGGGCGGUUACGGACAAAUGAAUUCGAAAUUUGGUGAUAGAAUUGGAAAUGUGGAUGCCAUUGAUUUUCCAAUGCAAAGCAGAAGAAUCUCAGGAGGUCUUUUCUCUUUUUUCUUGACAAGAAGUUUCAACAGCCAUUUCCACUUCCAAUUCUUAUCGAUAAUAUUCAAUUUCAACUGAAAACGAAGAACUCGUGGCUAAUUAUAUGCUGACAAAGUAUGUUAUCUUUCAUGUUAGGUGAUGUGUAAAAUUUUGUUCACUCAUUUAACUUGUAAUUAGUCUCCUAUUACAUAUAAUUUAUAAUAGACUCUAGUUAUAGGAAUCCGAACUAAAUUUCUCUUGAUAAAAAUAUGAUCGUGGUGUUCCUCGUGUUUAACAAAUUGCAAACUAUUAACUUUCAACAGAGUUGUGUGACUUGAGAAAAACAGAGGACUUUGUUGGUAUGAAGUCUCAUAGUAUAAACAGAAGACUCUGUUUCACACAGUUACGAAAAAAUCUGUAGAAAUCAAACCUUUUGUACAGAAGCAAGAAUUUUGUAACCUUCUUAGCUACAUAACAUUAACAUUGGAUCUUUAUACUCUUUGGAUUUUUCAUAAAACGACAUGAAUAUAUGUCCUCAAUACGAAACAUAGCCUGAUGCAUUAUCUCGUCGGCGCAUGUGAACUUAGAUUUAAGUCUAUAGAAUCCGUUUUUGCUAUUAAAAAAUCCAAAACCCUCUUAGAAAUAUGAUUCAACAAAUCCAAAAUCAACUAGGAAAUAUCCAUAAGCAAUAGAAACUUUCCAAGGAAUGACUUAUCUGCAUAGCCAAAUGUUAGUAUUCAGUAAUAUGAAUCAUCACUUAUGAGAUUGUUUGGUAUGAACCUUACUUUUCCUUAGAAUAACAUUUAUAUUUUCUUUAGAAGUGUCUCUGAAGUGAUUAGCUGUUAAAGAGUAAAUAGCUACAAAUUCCGUUAAUAGUGGAGGGACAAUGAUUACUCUCAUAAACCUUUAUGUUCACAGAAAUUUAUUUAUAAAGAUUAAUUGAUGGUUCUGAGUCUUUUAGAGAGUGUUGUGUGGAUUCAGCUUCUCGUUUAUGUCGUCUGUAUGACUAAGAACUGUUAUAAUUGUUUGUCAAACAUGUAAUAAACUUGAAGGAGUUGAAGAUCUAAUUUACCUACUUCAGAAAUAGGUACAAAACUUAAUUAAUCGAUACAUUCUUUGAUAUAUGUGUUUUGUUUGUCUUCUCAAUUCAUGGCAAUACAUAUAAAAAAUGUUUGUGAUAUUUAGAUGUUCAGUAAAAACUCUAGGCACAAAGUAGAGCCGUUUCAAUAUGCAUUUGCCAAAUGAAUUGUGUCUUUUUUGAUAUGGCAGAAGAGAAAUCACACAGUUACAUGUCAAAUUUAACAAAAUGGAGAUUUUGACAAAGCUCUUCUCAUAUUACAUGAUCAUGACACAUUACACUAGAGAUCACAUCCACACAAGCUUUAGUAUUUUAUCUUGUUGAAAUUGAAAUUAUCAUAAGACGAAAAAGGACUAAAUUUUUAUUAAGAAGACAAUUGACUUUUACAAUUCACCUACUAUGUUAUAACGCCAACCAAAACUUGAUUCAGGCAAGAAGUCCAAAAAAAUUCCAUUUCCUUGAACAAAAAAUAAUAAUUUAGAUGUCAUGAUAAAAAGCAGAUUAAAUUUUGCUCUGUUUUCUGUUUUUGAAUCUUUCCUUUGAUUUUUAAUGUAGUUUAGACGGCAAAAAAAAAAAAUUAUUACUUCCUCCAGCGAAAGAGGGCUGUUUCAAAGCCUCCAGCGAAACACUAUGGAAAAUCUCCAAACGUUACUUCCUUUGUCAACUCUUGAUUUUGCAUAUUGGCAAAAGUCAUGAGUAUAAUAAUAAACGUAUCAAUCGGAUAUUUUGAAGUUUUUUAAUCUUUGUAAUAAGGUGAAAUAAUUGGAUGGGUUGCAUGCAUUUUCUUAUUCAAAUUAAAUUUCUCAGAGGAAAUAUCAAUUCUAAAGAUAUUUUAUGUCACGUUCUAAGCCUAUAUACAUUCAAAUUUUAAUCCUUACCCCUACAUAACUGAAAAUUCUUCUAUCGAUCAUAGUAAUGGCUUUUUCUUCUUCUUCUUCUUCUCUUUCGAUUCCUUUAUCUUCUUCGUCUCAAAACUGGGAGUACGAUGUCUUUCCCAGCUUCCACGGGAAAGAUGUACGCAAAACCUUUCUCAGCCACCAACUGAAGGAGUUCGGAAGAAAAGCAAUCAACUUUUUUGUUGAUAACGAGAUCAAGAGAGGAGAAUUCAUCGGUCCUGAACUCAAACGGGCAAUCAAAGGAUCUAAGAUUGCUGUUGUCUUGCUCUCCAAGAAUUACGCUUCUUCUUCGUGGUGUCUUGACGAAUUGGUGGAGAUCAUGAAGAAAGAGUCGGGUCAAACGGUGAUUACCAUUUUCUAUGAAGUAGAUCCAACUGAUGUGAAGAAGCAGAAGGGAGACUUUGGGAAGGUCUUCAAAAAAACUUGCAAAGGUAAAGGCAAGGAGAAGGUUCAGACAUGGAAGAAAGCUUUGGAGGGUGUGGCCACAAUCGCGGGUUACCAUUCAAGCAACUGGUUCGUUUUCUUGAUUUAAAUUCACUUGAUUUUAAUAUUUCUAACACAUCAAACUAUAUUUGUAGCAUUCAUAGUGAUUAGUUAUUAACAAGAUGUAUGUAUAAAGUGAUCUUCCUCUUUGUUAGGGUUGAUGAAUCAACCAUGAUUGAAAACAUCGCUGCUGAAAUUUCGAACAAGCUCAAUCAUUUGACGCCGUCACGUGAUUUUGACCAUUUAAUUGGGAUGGGAGCUCAAAGUCUAUUUGUUAGUCCUUACUUUCACAUAGCUCUAUUAUUAGAUCUCUGAUCUUAAAUCUUCUCUCUAUCGUAGCAAUGGCUUCUUCUGCUCUUUCGAUUCCUUCAUCUUCUUCGUCUCAAAACUGGGAGUACGAUGUCUUUCCGAGCUUCCACGGGAAAGAUGUACGCAUAACCUUUCUCCGCCACAUUCUCAAGGAGUUUGGAAGAAAAGCAAUCAACUUUUUUGUUGAUAACGAGAUCAAGAGAGGAGAGUUCAUCGGUCCUGAACUUAAACAGGCGAUCAAAGGAUCUAAGAUUACUCUUGUCUUGCUCUCCAAGAAUUACGCAUCUUCGUCGUGGUGUCUUGAUGAAUUGGUGGAGAUCAUGAAGAAAGAGUCGGGUCAAACGGUGAUUACCAUUUUCUAUGAAGUAGAUCCAACGGAUGUAAAAAAGCAGACCGGAGAUUUUGGGAAGGCCUUCAAAGAAACUUGUCAAGGUAAAACUGAGGAGAAGGUUCAGACAUGGAAGGAAGCUUUGGAGGGUGUGGCCACAAUCGCAGGUUACCAUUCAAGCAACUGGUUAGUGUUCUUGAUUUCCACUUUCUUUUAAUUCUAACACAUCAAGCCAUAUAUCUUUAAUUGUAACGUUCGAACUGAAUGUAGACAAGAGAGUCAUAAUUGAUCUUGCUCUUUGGUAGGAUUGAUGAAGCAACCACGAUCGAAAAGAUUGCUGCUGAUAUUUUAUUGGAGAUAAGCAAGAUGUGUAUCUUGCGGACCAAGUAAUAUGGACCGUUAAAGUCCAUUAUGAAGUGAAGCCCGUGAAGCCUAAACCGAAGAAUAUUCUAGAUCUCUAUAUUACUUCUUGUACAAGUUAUUUACUUAUAUGUUUAGGAAAGUUUACAUUAUGUGGGUGUUAACAUUAUGUUAAUGUUAACACUAUAUAUAUGUAUCUUAUAUUUUCAUAUGAGAGAAAACUCAAUAAAGUAUUUUAUAGAUUCUAUAAUAUUUGACAUGGUAUCAGAGCAGUCGAUCCUUGUGGAUCUGAAUUAAAUGCUUCCGCAUUAAAAAUCUUGUGGUCACAAUAACCAUGGGAUGUGAAGCCAUCGAAGACGGUGGUGACGAAGACGAUCCGGAUGAUGACGUGAAGCAAAGUUUGCUUUGACGUCCACAUGAGAGUUUUAUAUUUCUUUUAUUCUAAGUUAAUGUUUUAGGUUGAUUUUGAGUUUAUGAUUUGGUUUAGCACAAGAAUUAGAGAUCUUUGAGGAAUUAUUAUGUUUUAAGGGUUUGGGAUUUCACAAGUAGUUGUUUAUUUAUGAGAUUUAUUCUUGAGUUUAGAAUAUCUCAUUUUUUUAAUGUGAGUUUUGAUUUCUCAUAUUACGGGGGAGUUUAUUGGAACACUCAUGUUUUAGGCUAUUUUUAGUCCGGUUUGUGGACUGUCCGAGAUAGGACGAUUAUUUGUGGAGUUGCAGGAUUUGCGCCCACGGAAUAUUGUUAUUCCCUUUUACUAAGACCAAAGACGAGCUGAAGUUCCAUCCUCUUUUGAAAAUUGAAGUUUAUACCUGAGGAGACUGUUGACAUGAUUUGUCCGUCCUCGACAUGAUGUCCACGACAUAGGUGUUCUGCUUUGUCGUUGCAUAUUUUGCGUUUCGCAUCCCACCUUUGUCGUGCGGGGGAGUAUUGGAGAUAAGCAAGAUGUGUAUCUUGCGGACCAAGUAAUAUGGACCGUUAAAGUCCAUUAUGAAGUGAAGCCCGUGAAGCCUAAACCGAAGAAUAUUCUAGAUCUCUAUAUUACUUCUUGUACAAGUUAUUUACUUAUAUGUUUAGGAAAGUUUACAUUAUGUGGGUGUUAACAUUAUGUUAAUGUUAACACUAUAUAUAUGUAUCUUAUAUUUUCAUAUGAGAGACAACUCAAUAAAGUAUUUUAUAGAUUCUAUAAUAUUUGACAUAUUUCGAAAAUGCUUAAUCAUUUGACGUUGUCACGUGAUUUUGACCAUUUAAUUGGGAUGGAAGCUCAUAUGGAAAGGAUGGAACAGUUUUUACGUCUAGAUUUGGAUGAAGUGAGGAUGAUUGGGAUUUGGGGUCCGGCUUGGAUUGGGAAGACCACCAUCGCCAGGUUUUUGUUUAACCAAGUCUCAAGCAGUUUCCAAAAUAGCGCAAUAAUGGUAAAUAUCAAAGGAAGCUAUCCAAGACCUUGUCGAGAUGUGUACAAAGCAAAGUUGAAACUACAGAAAAAAAUGUUGUCCCAUAUGAUCAACCAGAAAGAUAUCGUGAUUUCUCAUUUAGGAGUCGCACAAGAACGAUUGAGACACAGGACAGUGCUUCUCGUGCUUGACGAUGUGGAUCAGUUUGCACAACUAGAAGCCUUGGCUAAAGAUGUUAAAUGGUUUGGUCCUAGAAGUCGGAUUAUCAUCACAACAGAAGAUCUAAGACUUUUGAAGAAGCAUGGGAUCAACCAUAUAUACAAGGUUGAUUUUCCAUCAAAUGAUGAGGCUCUUCAAAGGUUCUGCAUGUAUGCUUUUAACCAAAAGACCCCUGAAGAUGGUUUCGAUGCACUUGCUCGUGAAAUUACAUACCUUGUCGGUGAACUUCCUUUAGGACUAAAGGUUAUUGGAUCCCACUUUCGAAGAUUGUCCAAGGAGCAGUGGUCAAUGGAAGUAUCAAGGUUAAGGACUAACCUUGAUGGAGAUAUUGAGAGCAUUUUGAAGUUCAGUUAUGAUGCUUUAUGUGAU
rnacentral:lncRNA from 1 species